ensembl:lncRNA
CCGCAGCGAGGCGCUGCUGAGCUGAAACUUCACUACGGUAAAUGAGACUCGCUUGUCUCGUCUCUGAUGGACGGCGCGUCGUUAAAAUAGUUUAAUGUGAGUCGGCGAUGGAUCGAGAGUUUCUCCGAGUCGUGGGCAACUACUGACUCAGUCGGCAUUCACGGUUUCGCAGCAGUGAUAUAAACCGUGAUAUAAAAUGUCCUGCAGUUCCUUUCCAGAGGGAUCGGUUCGCUCCACACUGGCCGCUGUUUGAGAAGUUACUCCGCUCCAGGAGCCUCGGAUUGUUUAGAGGUCGCGCAUACAGAGCCUACCAUUUCCACUAAAAGUCUGGAACGACGACAAAUCUAAAAACAACAAAAAGCAAUGGAGAGAGUGACCGGUUUGGAUUAAAUGAGGCUUUAGGAUUCGACAGAUGCUCAGCAGGAAGUUGCAACACCACCACUACUAUAAGCAAAACAUGCAAUCCUGCAGCACUUCACACUGGCAGAAUCACAAGGCUUGCUACACACCUACAGAGGUGACAUGGGGUGGUGAUGUUAACCGAAGAUGUAACAGAAGAUGUUGGAUACAGACGCGGUAACUACUCUGGAAGCCAGAUACACGGGCGAAAUUGUACGUCCCCCGAGCUGUGGAGAGAACGAAUGAAGUACAGAUUAAUUGCAGUUCAAUUCUGAUGUUUGAAAUUGUCGUUCCUUCCAGACUACAGACUCAAACAUGCAGCAUAUCUAUGCAUGUUAAAUUGAAUUAAACUGUUUCUUAUUGGAUCAGACCUGAAUCGAAUCAGAUCAGUAGUGCAGUGCUUAACACAUGUU